UUCUCUGACCUCAGCAGCAUGGACAAGGAAGCCCGUGUCCACCCAAGACAACCAAGACCACUCCCAGGAGGCUUCUUUGUGGCAACGGACAGGAAGGAGGCACGGGGGAUGGUCUCAAAGAGAUGCCUCCGCUCAAGGCGCCAUGAACUUGGCAGCAAUCCCAGAGGACGGACACCCCCUUCCCAAAGAGCACCGCUCGGCCGGCGCAGCGAGCCUGACUUGAAAUCUCCACUUCCCUCCCAGAGGGGAGUGCGGGAGGAAACUCUAAAAAGGGAGAGCAGCCAUCACGUUGAGAGAAGAGGCAAAGGGGGUCUCGAGGGCGAGGGGCCACGGCGCUGGCCAGGGCUCAGUAUGUUACCAAGGCUGACCCUCACUUCUCAAGCAUGAAGACUGUACCAUGCCCAGCUUGGUCUGGAACUCAGUAUGUAAUCCAGGACGCCCUUGAACCUGCAAUCCUGCCUCAGCCUCCCUAGCGCUGGGAUGACAGGCUCUGCAGAGGACGCCUGGUCUCUGUUAAGCACAAGGGCACUUUUGUCCCCUCUUUACAACACCCGCUUCAUUUGAGAACAAAGCAUGACAUUCUCUGGGUGGCACAGAGUUGGCAUCUGGUUGGCCUGUAGUGGAUAUUUGCAAGUAAGCAGGGUGGUGGGGAGGAAACACGCCCGGGGUACUCCUAGGAAACCACACUGGGACCAGGUUUGUCUCAGAAGGGUAGGGAGGGUGCAACCCACCCUUAGGGAAGGAAACACAAGAUAAAACACACGACUCAACCCUACAGCAAGUCUGAAGGGGUGGGCAGGGCUUAGACAUUGGGGAUAAUGUUCAGAUGCCAGGAGGAAGUGGCCAGCCUCGGGGACAGAAAGAUUGGAACCUAAUACCGGUCACUCAGCAGAGGAGGAGGGAGAGGGGGGCCUAGCAAGCAGUGAUGAGUUUAGCCACGAAGACA